rnacentral:rRNA from 1 species
AGGGGCCUACGGGGGGCAGCAGUAGGGAAUAUUGCUCAAUGGGGGAAACCCUGAAGCAGCAACGCCGCGUGGAGGAUGAAGGUUUUCGGAUUGUAAACUCCUUUUGUUAGAGAAGAUAAUGACGGUAUCUAACGAAUAAGCACCGGCUAACUCCGUGCCAGCAGCCGCGGUAAUACGGAGGGUGCAAGCGUUACUCGGAAUCACUGGUCGUAAAGAGCGCGUAGGCGGGAUAGUAAGGCAGAUGGGAAAUC